ensembl:lncRNA
UUUUUUUUUUUUUUUUUUUUUGGUCUUUUUGCCUUUUCUAGGGCCACUCCCGCAACAUAUGGAGGUUCCCAGGCUAGGGGUCUAAUUGGAGCUGCAGCCCUGGCCUACGCCAGAGCCACAGCAACGCGGGAUCCGAGCCGCGUCUGCAACCUACACCCGGCUCACAGCAACGCCGGAUCCUUAACCCACUGAGCAAGGCCAGGGAUCGAACCCGCAACCUCAUGGUUCCUAGUCGGAUUCGUUAACCACUGCGCCGAGACAGGAACUCCUCUUUUCUCUUGCCUGUUGCAUUUUCAAAAGACUUGCUAUUGGUGCCAGGAUAUGAUCAUGAACAGAUCAGUAACAAUUCUGGUGUCAUUUGAGGCACACUUUCCUUAGCAAAUCAAAACUGCUUCUAAUAUCACCACUGAUAUUUUAAAUCCAAUGCAAUCAGUUUGGGAAGGUCUCAGAGGCUUUCCAGAUGGAAAAAGCAAUGAAAGGGAAUUUUCUUUCCUAAAAGUUAAUGAUAGAUAGAUCGAUAGAUAGAUAUACAGACAGAUAGAUGAUAGAUAGAUACACACACAUACUGUUCAUCGGGUUCGAGAGUCCUUAUCCACAUUAUCUUCUCAAAUGAGCCGGCAAGGGAGGAAGAGGCAAGUUUCAGAACAUAAGUAGCUAUGAGUCCAUUUACAAAAAACCAAAACAAAUCUAAACCAAAAAGAAACCCAAACCCACCUCCUCUGGGAGCUUGUCAUACAUGGGGAAGCUCAGAUCUCACUGCAGACACACUGAAUCACAUGCCGCAUUUUAACAAAAUCCGUAGAUGAGUCUUUAGUGCAUAAAAAUUUGACAAGCACUACCGUAAGCUUCUACAUUUAUAGACACACACGGAACACCUGUUUGCAUGUUGUAUCUAUGUACAUAUCGGUCUGUAUCUAUACAUGCAUCUAUCAAGAUGCUCCUAAGAAUAUGUAUCUGGAUAGAAAUGAGGGGACACAGACAGGUCUGGAACUACACAUACAAACGCACAGUGGUUAAUUUUGAGAAGGAGAAUGGUGGUGAAGGGGAGGGGGUGGGGAGGUCCAGGGGGACAGUCACGCUUUACCUUGUAUCCUUCGGGAUGGUUUAUUUAUAAGUUUAAGCUACAGGGAGAACUUGUUAACGUAUGAUUUGGGUAAUCCGAAUUUCAGUAGUAAGAUAGUGUGAAACAGAAAGCAUGAAAAUCAGCCAUGUGAUGGACAGGAACAGCUCAAGUCUUCCCUCUCCACCUACGAUGGGCUAAUAAGAAACGCUUUGACCUACCGUUUCCCCUGGGAGGGACGCCCCCGUAGAACUCCUCACACGUGUGUGAGAUGAUGUCCAACCGAGAUUAGCCAAGGGAGCACUGUUUGUAACAGCAGAAGAUCAAAGGCAACCUAAAGGCCCAUCGGUUGGGAACCGUUACAUAGGUUAUGGAGCACUGACAGUGGAACAGUAUGCAGCCGUGGAAAAGAUGGAUGAGUUCUCUGUGUAUUGAGAUGGAACAGCGGCCAAGAUCAAUGGGUCAUCCAUCCAUGGGAAAAUGUGCCCAAACUGUAAGGCAUGGAUGGAUACCUUGUAGAAAACAGGGUGGCUGGGGCACAUAUAUUAAUAUUUACUAAUGAUACAUGCACAUCUCUGGAAAUCACACCACCCAGAAUAAACUGGAAGGGGUGGACUCUGAGAAGGGACACAGGUGACUGCAGGACGGUAGUCAAGAGAGACUUUGCACUGUGCGCUCCAC